rnacentral:misc_RNA from 1 species
AAGUCGUAACAAGGUUUCCGUAGGUGAACCUGCGGAAGGAUCAUUAACACUUUUUCAAAAAGGUUUUUCUUUUAAGAAAAACUUAUUCUACCCACCUUUUGGAUGAACUUUUUUUGAUGGAGAUAUGACAAUAUUUUGUUGUUAUAUUCUUUAUCAAAUUUUUUCAUUAUUUCAAACUUUUUAACCCCAAAAAACCAAUUUAUUUACAAAUUGCUAUAUCUUGAAAAAGCCUAACAUGUGUGUGGGUUUGUGUUGGUGUGAUCAAUGCAAAUUGAUCACCACCAAUCACUCAAGAAAUCCUAAAAACUAAGAAAACAACUCUUAACAACGGAUAUCUUGGCUCUC